rnacentral:rRNA from 1 species
GUGGAGCAUGUGGUUUAAUUCGAAGCAACGCGAAGAACCUUACCAGGUCUUGACAUCCUUUGACCACUCUGGAGACAGAGCUUUCCCUUCGGGGACAAAGUGACAGGUGGUGCAUGGUUGUCGUCAGCUCGUGUCGUGAGAUGUUGGGUUAAGUCCCGCAACGAGCGCAACCCUUGAUUUUAGUUGCCAGCAUUUAGUUGGGCACUCUAAAGUGACUGCCGGUGCAAGCCGGAGGAAGGUGGGGAUGACGUCAAAUCAUCAUGCCCCUUAUGACCUGGGCUACACACGUGCUACAAUGGAUAGUACAAAGGGUCGCGAAGCCGCGAGGUGGAGCUAAUCCCAUAAAACUAUUCUCAGUUCGGAUUGUAGGCUGCAACUCGCCUACAUGAAGCCGGAAUCGCUAGUAAUCGUGGAUCAGCAUGCCACGGUGAAUACGUUCCCGGGCCUUGUACACACCGCCCGUCACACCACGAGAGUUUGUAACACCCGAAGUCGGUAGGGUAACCUUUAUGGAGCCAGCCGCCGAAGGUGGGACAGAUAAUUGGGGUGAAGUCGUAACAAGGUAGCCGUAUCGGAAGGUGCGGCUGGAUCACCUCCUUUCUAA